AUUGAACGCUGGCGGCAUGCCUUACACAUGCAAGUCGAACGGUAACGGGUCCUUCGGGAUGCCGACGAGUGGCGAACGGGUGAGUAAUAUAUCGGAACGUGCCCAGUAGUGGGGGAUAACUGCUCGAAAGAGCAGCUAAUACCGCAUACGACCUGAGGGUGAAAGGGGGGGAUCGCAAGACCUCUCGCUAUUGGAGCGGCCGAUGGCAGAUUAGGUAGUUGGUGGGAUAAAAGCUUACCAAGCCGACGAUCUGUAGCUGGUCUGAGAGGACGAUCAGCCACACGGGGACUGAGACACGGCCCAGACUCCGACGGGAGGCAGCAGUGGGGAAUUUUGGACAAUGGGCGAAAGCCUGAUCCAGCAAUGCCGCGUGCAGGAUGAAGGCCUUCGGGUUGUAAACUGCUUUUGUACGGAACGAAAAGCCCCGGGUUAAUACCCUGGGGUCAUGACGGUACCGUAAGAAUAAGCACCGGCUAACUACGUGCCAGCAGCCGCCGUAA
rnacentral:rRNA from 1 species